UACGUAGGAGGCAAGCGUUGUCCGGAAUUAUUGGGCGUAAAGCGCGCGCAGGCGGUCCUUUAAGUCUGAUGUGAAAGCCCUCGGCUCAACCGAGGAAGGUCAUUGGAAACUGGAGGACUUGAGUGCAGAAGAGGAAAGUGGAAUUCCAAGUGUAGCGGUGAAAUGCGUAGAGAUUUGGAGGAACACCAGUGGCGAAGGCGACUUUCUGGUCUGUAACUGACACUGAGGCGCGAAAGCGUGGGGAGCAAACAGG
rnacentral:rRNA from 1 species